GCAAAAUGGAGUUGGUAGUGAGAUAGGUACACAAAACUGUAUGUAUGACUAGAUGUCCUAAACAUGCUUGAUAUAUAGGAAGGGGGCUACAUCUAGUAAGAUGAAAUUCAUGGGGAGAUUAAUACAAAAAUGUAUUCUAUCAGAUCCUGUGCACUAGAUGUAAGGUGGCCAGUAAUUUGGCUCCAAACUUGGAUGAAGAAGAGAAAAACCAACUAUAAAAUGUACAGUGCCUAUGAGGCUAAAACAGACAAGAAGGACAAUAGUUUCUGACAUCAAGGACAAAAUUGUCUCUUGAGUGUUCUUCAUAGGACAGUGGGUCGUAUAAGAAUGUGUAAUCAACAGCUUUACAUUGAAGGCAAUGAUAAGUUUAUUUUAUUUUUAUUUUUAUUUUGAGAUGGAGUCUCGCUCUGUUGCCCAGGCUGGAGUGCAGUGGUGCGAUCUUGGCUCACCGCAACCUCCACCUCCCGGUUCAAGAAAUCCUCCUGCCUCAGCCUCCUGAGUAGCUGGGAUUACAGGCACCUGCCACCACGCCUGACUAAUUUUUGUAUUUUUAGUAGAAACGGGGUUUCACCAUGUUGGCCACGUUGGUCUCCAACUCCUGACCUCAAGUGAUCUGCCCACCUCAGCCUCCCAAAGUGCUGGGAUUACAGGCAUGAGCCACCGCGCCUGGAGAUAAGUUUAUUUUUCAUAGGAGUAUCAUUUAGGUUCCUUGCAAAGACCAGGGGUUUUGAGGUAAAGCAGAAUUUGGUAAGAGCAAUUUUGUGCCAGAUCAACCAGAAAAUGAAAAAAUAUUGACCUUUUAAGCUUUAUUUCUAUUAGUUUUUGUAUGUACUUCUAAAAUAUGUAUCACUGAUACCAGUGACAAACCUAUCUAAAUAUUGAUAAUAUUUCUUUUCCUUUUAGAUUCUGAAAAAGAGUUCCACGUCCUCCCUUAUCGAGUCUUUGUUCCCCUUCCUGGAUCCACUGUAAUGUUGUGUGAUUAUAAAUUUGACGAUGAGUCAGCUGAAGAAAUCAGGGACCAUUUUAUGGAGAUGUUGGAUCACACAAUUCAAAUAGAAGAUUUGGAAAUUGCAGAGGAAACAAACACAGUCUAGUAUAGAGAUGGAUUAACAGUAGGAAGAGUUUAAUAUUACAAGAACAAAGGAAGCAAAACAGCAAUUUGGAAAGUUUAGCUUGUAUGAGUUCUUCUAUGAAUAGUCAAGCUUCAUUGGACAACACAGAUGAUGAACAACCAAAACAACCAAUUAAAACUACAAUGUUAUUGAAAAUUCAGCAAAACAUAGGUUCACUGGAAGUAGGAGAAUUUUCAAGAACCAUACUUCGACAUUUCCUCUGCCACAAAAAAUGAACGCAUUUUAAGUUAGGAGUCAUGAAUACUGUAUUGACCAUACAAGUGGAUUAUGGUUGUCUGGAUGGCAGAUACCAAUAGCAACAUUGUCAUAUGCAGUUUGCCUCAAAUCAGAAACAAGAAGACAUCGGAAUCUGAGAUGCUGCCCUAGAGAGGACAGUUAAAGAAGGUUCAGUGGUCCUCAGUUUGCAGUGCUCUAGCUCCUGGCAGAAGCAAGAGGGAAACAUUCCUAAUUUAGUUCCAAGAUUCCUACAGAUUAUUAUCAAGUAGUAGUAUUUUAUGACUAGAGAUCACAGGCACAAGUUGAAACAAACUAACAUGACAAGAAAGCUAUAGAAAAAAUAAACAUUGAACUCAGUUCUUCAAGGUUUCAUCACCAACAUAAGGAAUGAAGUUGGAACCACAGGCAGAUCUGAAAAAGAACCAAAUAGAGCUCCUAAAAAUGAGAAAUAUUUAUUGAAAUAAGAAAAAAGCCCUCAGACAUGUUGAAUAUUUUAUUAGACUCAGCUGAAGAGACAAGUGAACUAAACUAUAAGCUGGAUCUAAAGAAAUUACCCAGUGAGCAGUGAGGAGAAACAAGGAGCUAGAAAACAUUGGAAAGUUAAGAGAGUUCGAGGGAAGAAUUAUAAAGACUAGGAGUCCUAGAAAGAGAAAAUUUAGAGAAUAAAGGAGAGGCAGUACUUGAAAGAUAACACAAUUUUACAAAUUUGUUGGAAAAACAUGAAUUCAUAAAUUCAGGAAGCACAAUAUAUACCAAACAUAUAUUUAAAUAAAAUCCAGGCCUAGACUCAAGGUAUUGUAAAUGACAAGAUACCAAAUACAAGAUUUUAAAAGCAACCAUGGGGAGAAAAAGAUCAGUGAAAGCAAGACAGUCAAAUACUUAGUAGGCUUCCUAACAGCAACAAUGUACCCAAAAGAGGGUAGAAUUCUGAGAAAAACUAUUAGCUUAGAAUUUGCAACAAGCGAAACUGAAACAAACAGAUGCUCAGAUGAAAAACAGAUGUUAUCCUCAGCACAAAUUCAGUAAAGAGACUACAAAAGGAUGAUCUUCAAGAAGGGAAAUGAUUCUAAAAGGAUUAUCUGAAAUUGAAAAACUAGUAAGCAAAUAAAUGAUAAACAUAAGUAAAUUUAAACUGUUGUUUGUAUAAAACAAUUAUAAUGAAGUGUUUAUAAGAAAUUGUAAACAAAUGUAAAACUAAAUAAACAUUGUUAUGCAACAUUAA
rnacentral:lncRNA from 1 species